rnacentral:lncRNA from 1 species
GCAUAGUCUAUCAAGAUAUAAUGUCUAGAAACUAAAUAGAAGUCAAUGUAUUAUGUUUUUGUCUGAGUUAAUGUUAAUUUGUGCACGGUCACGAUUAUUGAACUCAUCGUGUUUUCGUACAAUGAAGUACUAAUAGGCCAUAGGGAUAAGCCGAGAUGGAACGUGCCGUCACGAUCAUAAUAUUUAAGACAAAAGAUUUGUGUAUGGUUGAG